rnacentral:ncRNA from 1 species
GGACGCCAGUCUGCGUGGAGCCAACCUUGAAAUACCACCCUUUAAUGUUUGAUGUUCUAACGUAGGCCCGUGAUCCGGGCUGCGGACAGUGUCUGGUGGGUAGUUUGACUGGGGCGGUCUCCUCCUAAAGAGUAACGGAGGAGCACGAAGGUCAGCUAAUCACGGUCGGACAUCGUGAGGUUAGUGCAAUGGCAUAAGCUGGCUUGACUGCGAGAGUGACGGCUCGAGCAGGUGCGAAAGCAGGUCAUAGUGAUCCGGUGGUUCUGAAUGGAAGGGCCAUCGCUCAACGGAUAAAAGGUACUCCGGGGAUAACAGGCUGAUACCGCCCAAGAGUUCAUAUCGACGGCGGUGUUUGGCACCUCGAUGUCGGCUCAUCACAUCCUGGGGCUGAAGUAGGUCCCAAGGGUAUGGCUGUUCGCCAUUUAAAGUGGUACGCGAGCUGGGUUUAGAACGUCGUGAGACAGUUCGGUCCCUAUCUGCCGUGGGCGCUGGAGAACUGAGGGGGG